rnacentral:lncRNA from 1 species
AUGUCAGUGCUGGUGAAUAAAUGGCAGCGCGUGUUUCUCCUGCUGCAGAGAUCCAGGUGGAGGAAUCAGCGAGCGGCUCCCGCAGCGCUCAGAUCCCGCAGUACCGCAGCGCGGGCCGGGGGACAGCAGGGAAGAUGUGGUGGAUUUUACGGCAUUAUCUCAGGAAAGCCAGAGUUAAAGACAGCAGCAGCUCUGUGGCCUGACAGAACCGGGUGGAAUAAAUUUACACAUGGAGAUAUCACGAGAAGAGCGCUUCACGUCAGCUCUCCUCUCACAGAGGAAAAUGCUCUUCAGUUCAAGUAAAUGAAGCUUUUAUUUUCUAAUAAAGCAUUUUUCUUGGUAUAACUGCA